CCGAGGGGCGUGCUCACGGUUCUGAUUCUUUCCUCCGAUGAUCGGAGGUAUGUUGUUUGGUUUGAAGAAUGAAGUUCCUUUUCCUCCGAUGGAGAAAAAUGCUCUGUUUUCUCUAUCGGAGGUAUGUGGUUUGGUCUGAAGAAUGAAUGGAGGAAAAUUCUUUGUUUUCUCUAAACUACAUCUUCAAACAAUGGCAAGGACUAACCAGCAUGCAUGAGACAUCUUCAAUAGCUUCAACGGAAGUUUCUAAGCAGGUACGUAGCUUCACAAGGAUCUAAGCGGAAAGAGGAUGUUGCUGCACAAGCCGGAAUUGUUGUUAAGGAGAAAGUGAGUCAAUAUUUGAAGUUCUGACCCGCGGAUGAUGAUGACCCUAACAACAACAACAACAACAACAAUGUCUCUUCGUAUGGAUGAUUGGAGGAGGACGACGGUACAUGUUUAUUUCCAUGACGUUUCUAUCAUCUGAUUUAACGAGGACCAAGUAAACAAGAUCAGUUUGAAUAAGGAUGAAGAAGUAGACUCAGACUGGUUAAGGAAUUUCAUCUUUAAACACUGGCUAGGGAGGGCUAAGUAACCAGCCAGCAUACAGGGAGACAUCUUCAAUUGCUUUAACGAAAGAAGUGUCUAACUAAGCAGAUCAGUUUGACUAACGAUGAAGAGGAAGAAGACUCACACUUCUUAAGGUUUUGUUUCUAUCAUCAACACCACAAUCCAUCAGAGAUGGUUUGAAAAUGGUGAAGAAGACGACUCAGACUGCUUAAGGAUUUUUAUCUUUAAACAAUGGCAAGGGAGGGCUAAGUAACCAGCCUGCAUACAGGGAGACAUCUUCAAUUGGUUUAAGUAAUGAAGUUGCAGCCAGCUUAUUGGAAGCUGUCCUAGAAUUGUCGACACCACUAUCAUUAACAGACUUUCAGGCGUUAGGUUUUGUUCAUGGUUUUCAUUCAUGUUGCUCUUUUCAUUCAAACUUGAUAAUUAACGAUGGUUUAAAGAAUUAUGAAGAAGACGACUCAGACUGCUUAAGGAAUUUCAUCAUCUUUAAACUAUGGCAAGCAAGGGCAAAGUAACCAGCCUGCAUUACAGAGAGACAUCUUCUAUUGCUUUAACUAAUGAAGUGUCUAACUAAGCAGAUCAGAAAGAUAUGGUUUGAAGAAUGAACGCAGUUUCAUAAUAAAAACUUGGCCGAGGGUCGUGCUCUCUCACGGUAGCAACAUCAAACUGAUUCUAGUGAUUGAUGGUCUUUGACUCAAUACAAAUUAUACAAUACGUCUUCCCUGUCCACAUCUAAUUCCCCUUUGUGUUCAUGCUGCUUUGUAUUGUCGUACUGUUGACAUUCCUCUUGACCUACUGGGCUCUGGUACACAGGUAUACAGGAUUUGAAGAAGAAAGAGAAUGAGCUUCCAAGCCAAAGAAGCUGAGCUCAAAAGACUCAAGCAGCACCUUUACAGUUUCUGAAGAAAUUUUGUUUUGUUGUAGAGGCAUCGUUUUAAACUUUUUGUGAUUAAGGAAAGCUAAAGGUGUCUUGUGUGUUUAUUUUGUUUUCAGGUGAUGAUUUAUUUUGCCUCCGAGUAGGAUCUGAAGCGGAAAGAGGAUGUUGCUGCACAAGUUGAUGAUUCAUUUUGCCUCUGUGUAGUAUCUGAAGCGGAAGUAGGAUGCUGCAUGCUGCACAAGGAAUUUCAUCUUUAAACAAGGGAGGGCAGCAUACAAAAAGACAUCUUCGAUUGCUUUAACAAAAGAAGUGUCUAACUAAGCAGAUCAAAGAGAUAUGGUUUGAAGAAUGAAUGCAUUUACAUAAUAAAAACUUGGCCGAGGGUCAUGCUCAUGGUAACAACAUCAGACUGAUUCUAGUUAUAUUGAUGGCCUUCGACUCAAUACAAUACUUCUUCCUUUCCCACUUCGAAUUCCCCAUCCAUAAGUGUUUAGCUUCUCUAAAUGGAGAUAAUAUAUGGCUCCCUAUCUUUCAGUGGAAAAAAUCCUUUGCUUGUUCUGUAAGUAAUCUCUAUAUACUCUCUUCCUUUCUCUACUCAACCAAUAGUAAUCUUCUGAUUCUGUAAGUAAUCUCUAUAUACUCUUUUCUUUUUCCUUCAAUGGAGAAAAAUGCUCUUGUUUUCUCUGUAAGUAAUCUCGAUAACCACUCUUCCUUUUUUUUUUUUUUUGAUAAAAAUGUGAAUUUAUAUUACCAAAAGGAACGUUUAAGUACAAAACUUAGGGGU